rnacentral:rRNA from 1 species
AAAUCAACUCUCAGCAACGGAUAUCUUGGCUCUUGCAACGAUGAAGAACGCAGCGAAAUGCGAUACGUAGUGUGAAUUGCAGAAUUCCGCGAAUCAUCGAGUCUUUGAACGCAAGUUGCGCCCGAGGCUUGACCAAGGGCAUUUCUGCCAGAGCGUCA